UCGUGUUUGUCCAAUAUGGCGGCGCCCAGUGGCGGUGUGAACUGUGAGGAGUUCGCCGAGUUCCAGGUGAUGGGGUUUUCCUCAUGUGGCAGCUUUUCUGGUAUCUCCUCUGUGACGUUUAAGAAUGGCAUACAGUUUUCAGCAAUUCCUGAACAAGAAUUACUCAAGGUGAUGAGGACAAUUGAUGACAGAAUAGUACAUGAAUUAAACACUACGGUUCCAACAGCUUCCUUUGCAGGGAAAAUUGAUGCCAGCCAAACCUGUAAACAACUUUAUGAGUCUUUGAUGGCAGCUCAUGCCAGUAGAGACAGAGUCAUAAAAAAUUGUAUAGCCCAGACCUCAGCAGUAGUAAAAAACCUCCGGGAAGAGAGAGAAAAGAAUUUGGAUGAUUUAACGUUAUUAAAGCAACUUAGAAAAGAGCAGACAAAGCUGGCUGCACACAAGGUGAGCAGGCCGGGCUGCUGCACUUUCUCGAUCAUUCCGCCAAUUCAGGAUGUCUCACUGGAUCCAGGACUCAGCCACUGUCUUUGCUGCUCUCUUUGUUCAUGACUACUGCAUCAGUUUGCUAUGAAGAUUAUGGAAUCAGAGAGAGCUCUUGGAGAUGGUACAACUCUACCUCUUCAUUUUCUAUCUGAGGAAAAAGACUCAGAGAUACUAACUGACACCCCCAAAGCCACAAGCUAUUGAAAUGGAUGCAGUCAGAACUGAAUGUUGAAGAAGUGGUAAAUGACAGGAGCUGGAAGGUGUUUAAUGAACGCUGCCGAAUUCACUUCAAGCCUCCAAAGAAUGAAUAAAGAGAGAUUCUUUUUUUUUUUUUUUUUUUUUUUUUUAAGGACUGGGUCAUCUCAUAAGAGCUAAGCAUGACAGAUAUCAACAGGGCGGGCUUCCUAGGAUGAUUUCUGAGCCAACAGUCCAAGACCUUUUGUUGAUUUCAGCCCCACUUAGCCAAGACCUCAAGUAUAAAUAAUUCUGAUAAUUAUGGAGAAAUCAACUGCUAUUUUAUACUGAUUCUGUAAAAAAAAAAAAGUUUUGUAACUAUUAAAAUAAUUUUCUGACUCAGUGUA